rnacentral:tRNA from 1 species
AGAAAGGUGUCUGAGUGGUCGAAAGAGCUACCCUGGAAAGGUAGUAUACUGGCAACGGUAUCGAGGGUUCGAAUCCCUUCCUCUCUG